rnacentral:lncRNA from 1 species
AACAAGCACAUUACCUUAUCCUUUUUUUAUGUGUAUGAACACUUACUGAAUCAGGUAAAAUAAAAUAAUGCCAUUGUAAUUUUAUACAUAGUAUAAAUUAACUUACCAUCAAAUAAUUUACUUUGGAUAUGUAUUUAUUCUUAUAGAUAUACUUCCCUUUUUAUUGUCAUAAUUAAGUUAUUUUAAUUUUUUUUUUUUUUGUUUUUCUUAAUUUUAUGAAUAUGUAAAAAUGUGUCUUUUUUUGUCAUAUAUCAUUAAAUGAAGUAUGUAUAGUAUUUUAGCAGAGUUAGAGAAUUUAUUGUACGAUGUGCGUAAUCAUAAAAGUAUGCAUCAGACAGAACAUGAAUACAAUAAAAAAUUGGAUUUUGACAUAAAAUUUCCAAAUAAAACGGAUUAUGAAGAUUUGUCAUAUUUUCCAUCAGAAGAUGAAUAUGAAAAUCUUGACCAUUAUACGGAGCCAGUUCCAUAUAUAAUUAUUGAUAAAACAGAUAAAGAUAAUUUCGAAGAAUCUAUACUAGUAAUACGCAAAAAUAUAAAUAUAUACAUACACGUAUAUGUUUACUAUAUAAUCUGGAUAAAUUAUAAUUUAU